rnacentral:rRNA from 1 species
AGUGAACGCUGGCGGUAGGCCUAACACAUGCAAGUCGAACGGCAGCACAGUAAGAGCUUGCUCUUACGGGUGGCGAGUGGCGGACGGGUGAGGAAUACAUCGGAAUCUACUUUUUCGUGGGGGAUAACGUAGGGAAACUUACGCUAAUACCGCAUACGACCUACGGGUGAAAGCAGGGGAUCUUCGGACCUUGCGCGAUUGAAUGAGCCGAUGUCGGAUUAGCUAGUUGGCGGGGUAAAGGCCCACCAAGGCGACGAACCGUAGCUGGUCUGAGAGGAUGAUCAGCCACACUGGAACUGAGACACGGUCCAGACUCCUACGGGAGGCAGCAGUGGGGAAUAUUGGACAAUGGGCGCAAGCCUGAUCCAGCAAUACCGCGUGGGUGAAGAAGGCCUUCGGGUGGUAAAGCCCUUUUGUUGGGAAAGAAAAGCAGCAGGUUAAUACCCCGCUGUUCUGACGGUACCCAAAGAAUAAGCACCGGCUAACUUCGUG